rnacentral:rRNA from 1 species
UACGUAGGGGGCAAGCGUUGUCCGGAAUCAUUGGGCGUAAAGCGCGUGUAGGUGGUUCGAUAAGUCUGCUGUGAAAGUCCAGGGCUCAACCCUGGAAAGCCGGUGGAUACUGUCAGACUAGAGUGCGGAAGAGGCGAGUGGAAUUCCCGGUGUAGCGGUGAAAUGCGCAGAUAUCGGGAGGAACACCAAUUGCGAAGGCAGCUCGCUGGGACGUAACUGACGCUGAGACGCGAAAGCGUGGGGAGCAAACAGG